CCUACGGGUGGCAGCAGUGGGGGAUAUUGCACAAUGGGGGGAACCCUGAUGCAGCGACGCCGCGUGGGUGAAGAAGCGCCUCGGCGCGUAAAGCUCCGUCAGCAGGGAAGAAAAUGACGGUACCUGAAGAAGAAGCCCCGGCUAACUACGUGCCAGCAGCCGCGGGAAUACGGAGGGGGCAAGCGUUAUCCGGAUUUACUGGGUGUAAAGGGGGCGCAGGCGGCGAUGCAAGCCAGGAGUGAAAGCCCGGGGCCCAACCCCGGGACUGCUCUUGGAACUGCGUGGCUGGAGUGCAGGAGGGGCAGGCGGAAUGCCUGGUGUAGCGGUGAAAUGCGUAGAUAUCAGGAGGAACACCGGUGGCGAAGGCAGCCUGCUGGACUGCAACUGACGUUGAGGCCCGAAAGCGUGGGGAGCGAACAGGAUUAGAUACCCUGGUAGUC
rnacentral:rRNA from 1 species